rnacentral:rRNA from 1 species
AGAGUUUGAUCAUGGCUCAGAACGAACGCUGGCGGCAGGCCUAACACAUGCAAGUCGAGCGCCCGCAAGGGAGCGGCAGACGGGUGAGUAACGCGUGGGAACGUGCCCUUUGGUUCGGAAUAUUCCCGGGAAACUGGGAGCAAAACCGGAUAAGCCCUUCGGGGGAAAGUUUACGCCAAAGGAUCGGCCCGCGUUAGAUUAGGUAGUUGGUGGGGUAACGGCCUACCAAGCCUACGAUCUAUAGCUGAUCUGAGAGGAUGAUCAGCCACACUGGGACUGAGACACGGCCCAGACUCCUACGGGAGGCAGCAGUGGGGAAUCUUGGACAAUGGGCGCAAGCCCGAUCCAGCCAUGCCGCGUGGAUGACUGAAGGCCCUAGGGUUGUAAAGUCCUUUCGACGGGGACGAUAAUGACGGUACCCGUAGAAGAAGCCCCGGCUAACUUCGUGCCAGCAGCCGCGGUAAUACGAAGGGGGCUAGCGUUGUUCGGAUUUACUGGGCGUAAAGGGCGCGUAGGCGGAUUUUUAAGUCGGGGGUGGAAUCCCGGAGCUCAACUCCGGAACUGCCUUCGAUACUGAAAGUCUGGAGCACGGUAGAGGUGAGUGGAAUUCCGAGUGUAGAGGUGAAAUUCGUAGAUAUUCGGAGGAACACCAGUGGCGAAGGCGGCUCACUGGACCGUUGCUGACGCUGAGGCGCGAAAGCGUGGGGAGCAAACAGGAUUAGAUACCCCGGUAGUCC